GACAGCGUCGAGUUGCUACCGACGCGGCGGCCAUGGUUGGGGAGGGAGUUCGGCUUGCAGUGCCCCUCAGGCUUUACCAUGUCGCCAUGUUCCCCGAGUUCGAUCUGUUCGGGCUCUAAGGGGUGAUUAAGCAGUACUUCCGGGCUCGGAAGGGUAAGGAGAUCACUGCCGAUGGCCACCCUCGCCCGAUCAAAUUCUUGGCGCAUUUGAAGGAGGAUGAGUUUGGGCUCUUAGAGAUGUCAUGGAAAGAACCGAGAGAAGGCAAAGGAGAGACGUAAAGGAUGUCUUCCAAGUAACAUGAUUCCACACCAUUGUUGGUUGAAGAGAUCAUGAUAUAUGAUCACUUUUAAGUAUUCUACAUACUCCACAGUGAAGCUUUGUGAUGGCCUAAUUGUUGCUGCUGGAACCAGAAUCUGCUUCAACCACAUAGCCUCUGAGGGAAGGUGUCCUGUUAGUGAGGUCUGCUGAAGAAUGUUGCCACUCAAAACUUGUCUUCUGCUGCAUCCUUCUUCUAGCAAUGUAUCCUCUAAUCCAUGGGGUCACAUCCUCAUUGAUUUUGAUCAUAAUGAAGAAGAUGAUCCGGUAGAUUAUGACCAUGCUGUAGAGGACAGAUAGAUCCCACCAUUUUGAGCGACUAACGUCGAUCUGGAAGACAUUCUCGAGCACAUAUUCUCCAGGGAUCUUUGGAAGGUCUGGUGUCUGAUUGUCAAAUAGAAGACCUUUCAAGUCAUUUUGAUACUGGCCCUGUUGCACACAAUCGAGUAACAUAAUCAGCUCAAGCCCCUUCAAGUAGGUUUGGAUACCAUUGAUUAACCUUUUUCUUUACCUGCAGUGACCAGUAAUCGAAGCUGAUAUAUGUCAUUGGGUAGCGCCAAAAUGGUUUUGGAAUGUCAUUAGGGAGUCUGAAAUAGCCAGACACUAGCAUAAAAAUUCCCUGUUCCAUGGAGCAACUGUGAGUCAUGGAGUUCUUCGGAGAUUAUAAAUGAAGCAUCAUCAUCAGAAAAGGUUUAGAUGUGUUGGUGUUGCUUACCUGAAUCCCAGCUCCUAUUAUGAUUCCCAUGAGAAAAUUGGGGACGACACUGGCUAUGGCCAUCAUCAAGCUCUCAA